rnacentral:rRNA from 1 species
UUAAGCGACUAAGCGUACACGGUGGAUGCCCUGGCAGUCAGAGGCGAUGAAGGACGUGCUAAUCUGCGAUAAGCGUCGGUAAGGUGAUAUGAACCGUUAUAACCGGCGAUUUCCGAAUGGGGAAACCCAGUGUGAUUCGUCACACUAUCAUUAACUGAAUCCAUAGGUUAAUGAGGCGAACCGGGGGAACUGAAACAUCUAAGUACCCCGAGGAAAAGAAAUCAACCGAGAUUCCCCCAGUAGCGGCGAGCGAACGGGGAGCAGCCCAGAGCCUGAAUCAGUGUGUGUGUUAGUGGAAGCGUCUGGAAAGGCGCGCGAUACAGGGUGACAGCCCCGUACACAAAAAUGCACAUGCUGUGAGCUCGAUGAGUAGGGCGGGACACGUGGUAUCCUGUCUGAAUAUGGGGGGACCAUCCUCCAAGGCUAAAUACUCCUGACUGACCGAUAGUGAACCAAUACCGUGAGGGAAAGGCGAAAAGAACCCCGGCGAGGGGAGUGAAAAAGAACCUGAAACCGUGUACGUACAAGCAGUGGGAGCACGCUUAGGCGUGUGACUGCGUACCUUUUGUAUAAUGGGUCAGCGACUUAUAUUCUGUAGCAAGGUUAACCGAAUAGGGGAGCCGAAGGGAAACCGAGUCUUAACUGGGCGUUAAGUUGCAGGGUAUAGACCCGAAACCCGGUGAUCUAGCCAUGGGCAGGUUGAAGGUUGGGUAACACUAACUGGAGGACCGAACCGACUAAUGUUGAAAAAUUAGCGGAUGACUUGUGGCUGGGGGUGAAAGGCCAAUCAAACCGGGAGAUAGCUGGUUCUCCCCGAAAGCUAUUUAGGUAGCGCCUCGUGAAUUCAUCUCCGGGGGUAGAGCACUGUUUCGGCAAGGGGGUCAUCCCGACUUACCAACCCGAUGCAAACUGCGAAUACCGGAGAAUGUUAUCACGGGAGACACACGGCGGGUGCUAACGUCCGUCGUGAAGAGGGAAACAACCCAGACCGCCAGCUAAGGUCCCAAAGUCAUGGUUAAGUGGGAAACGAUGUGGGAAGGCCCAGACAGCCAGGAUGUUGGCUUAGAAGCAGCCAUCAUUUAAAGAAAGCGUAAUAGCUCACUGGUCGAGUCGGCCUGCGCGGAAGAUGUAACGGGGCUAAACCAUGCACCGAAGCUGCGGCAGCGACGCUGAUGCGUUGUUGGGUAGGGGAGCGUUCUGUAAGCCUGUGAAGGUGUACUGUGAGGUAUGCUGGAGGUAUCAGAAGUGCGAAUGCUGACAUAAGUAACGAUAAAGCGGGUGAAAAGCCCGCUCGCCGGAAGACCAAGGGUUCCUGUCCAACGUUAAUCGGGGCAGGGUGAGUCGACCCCUAAGGCGAGGCCGAAAGGCGUAGUCGAUGGGAAACAGGUUAAUAUUCCUGUACUUGGUGUUACUGCGAAGGGGGGACGGAGAAGGCUAUGUUGGCCGGGCGACGGUUGUCCCGGUUUAAGCGUGUAGGCUGGUUUUCCAGGCAAAUCCGGAAAAUCAAGGCUGAGGCGUGAUGACGAGGCACUACGGUGCUGAAGCAACAAAUGCCCUGCUUCCAGGAAAAGCCUCUAAGCAUCAGGUAACAUCAAAUCGUACCCCAAACCGACACAGGUGGUCAGGUAGAGAAUACCAAGGCGCUUGAGAGAACUCGGGUGAAGGAACUAGGCAAAAUGGUGCCGUAACUUCGGGAGAAGGCACGCUGAUAUGUAGGUGAAGCGACUUGCUCGUGGAGCUGAAAUCAGUCGAAGAUACCAGCUGGCUGCAACUGUUUAUUAAAAACACAGCACUGUGCAAACACGAAAGUGGACGUAUACGGUGUGACGCCUGCCCGGUGCCGGAAGGUUAAUUGAUGGGGUCAGCGCAAGCGAAGCUCUUGAUCGAAGCCCCGGUAAACGGCGGCCGUAACUAUAACGGUCCUAAGGUAGCGAAAUUCCUUGUCGGGUAAGUUCCGACCUGCACGAAUGGCGUAAUGAUGGCCAGGCUGUCUCCACCCGAGACUCAGUGAAAUUGAACUCGCUGUGAAGAUGCAGUGUACCCGCGGCAAGACGGAAAGACCCCGUGAACCUUUACUAUAGCUUGACACUGAACAUUGAGCCUUGAUGUGUAGGAUAGGUGGGAGGCUUUGAAGUGUGGACGCCAGUCUGCAUGGAGCCGACCUUGAAAUACCACCCUUUAAUGUUUGAUGUUCUAACGUUGACCCGUAAUCCGGGUUGCGGACAGUGUCUGGUGGGUAGUUUGACUGGGGCGGUCUCCUCCUAAAGAGUAACGGAGGAGCACGAAGGUUGGCUAAUCCUGGUCGGACAUCAGGAGGUUAGUGCAAUGGCAUAAGCCAGCUUGACUGCGAGCGUGACGGCGCGAGCAGGUGCGAAAGCAGGUCAUAGUGAUCCGGUGGUUCUGAAUGGAAGGGCCAUCGCUCAACGGAUAAAAGGUACUCCGGGGAUAACAGGCUGAUACCGCCCAAGAGUUCAUAUCGACGGCGGUGUUUGGCACCUCGAUGUCGGCUCAUCACAUCCUGGGGCUGAAGUAGGUCCCAAGGGUAUGGCUGUUCGCCAUUUAAAGUGGUACGCGAGCUGGGUUUAGAACGUCGUGAGACAGUUCGGUCCCUAUCUGCCGUGGGCGCUGGAGAACUGAGGGGGGCUGCUCCUAGUACGAGAGGACCGGAGUGGACGCAUCACUGGUGUUCGGGUUGUCAUGCCAAUGGCACUGCCCGGUAGCUAAAUGCGGAAGAGAUAAGUGCUGAAAGCAUCUAAGCACGAAACUUGCCCCGAGAUGAGUUCUCCCUGACUCCUUGAGAGUCCUGAAGGAACGUUGAAGACGACGACGUUGAUAGGCCGGGUGUGUAAGCGCAGCGAUGCGUUGAGCUAACCGGUACUAAUGAACCGUGAGGCUUAACCU